rnacentral:rRNA from 1 species
AGGGUUCGAUCUGGCUCAGGAUGAACGCUGGCGGCGUGCUUAACACAUGCAAGUCGAACGAAGCAUAGUGAAUGAAGUUUCGGAUGGAUUUCACUUUGACUUAGUGGCGGACGGGUGAGUAACGCGUGGGCAACCUGCCCUUAACCGGGGGACAACAGUUGGAAACGACUGCUAAUACCGCAUAAGCGCACGUGACCGCAUGGUCGAGUGUGAAAAAAUUCCGGUGGUUAAGGAUGGGCCCGCGUUGGAUUAGGUAGUUGGUGAGGUAACGGCCCACCAAGCCGACGAUCCAUAGCCGACCUGAGAGGGUGACCGGCCACAUUGGGACUGAGACACGGCCCAGACUCCUACGGGAGGCAGCAGUGGGGAAUAUUGCACAAUGGGGGAAACCCUGAUGCAGCGAACCGCCGCGUGAGUGAAGAAGUAUUUCGGUAUGCAAAGCUCUAUCAGCAGGGAAGAAAAUGACGGUACCUGCACAAGAAGCCCCGGCUAACUACGUGCCAGCAGCAGC